ensembl:lncRNA
AUGCACAAUUUACCUUUUUUUUUCUUUCUUUCUUUCACCGCUAUACAUUUUGCAUUUUAUAAGCAGUUUCAAUGGGCAUGUCCUCCUGUCCUGAUGGACAGUUCCAGUGUAUUGAUUCUCAAGUCUGUGUUUCCAUGGAGCAAGUGUGUGAUUUCCACACCAACUGUUCAGAUGGAUCAGAUGAAGCGUUUUGUGGCUCUUGUGACUUUGAGAUGGAAAACAUCAGUACUAUGAGAAAGACACUUUGAGAAAGACACCUGUUCCUUGUCCCAUGACCAGUCAACUGAACUCAAAUGGAAAAAAAGAAGAUGGACAGAACCCUCCCUUUGAUUAUCAGGGACCUACACAUGAUCACACCACUGGUUCUGGUAGAUAUACAUAUAAUAAUUUAUAUACAUAUAUAAACAGGACACUACUAUUCAAAAUGUUUAGGGACUUUGAAAGAAAUCUCUUCUGCUCAUCAAGAAUUGAUUGGAUUGUGUGAAAUGGAUAUUUCAUGAAAGAUGUUUUUCAUGCACCAACAAAUUAUGCAUAAUAACACCAGAAACGUAUUAAAAAAAUAUAUAGGGUCCAUUUUGAUUU